CACCAUACACCCGUCUUUUUUUGCCCAGUGGCGAUGUGUACACACCGUUACCGGGUGCUCAUUGUGAGGUCACCGGUGUUUGGCCGUGAGCGCGGAAUCGAACUCUCGGUUCUCCGUGGGUUUCGUAGCGCAGCGCGCUAACCGCUACGCCACCGCUCCACGCGCUUCCCCCCGCGCGCUCAGCCGCGCCGACUCGACUGCUCCAUGGGCUCGCCUGAGACCCCGGGACACAUCACGAGUGUGGGGGGCAGGAGCAGGCAGGGGGGGGGGGGUUCCUUGAGCUCCCCCGCCCCCUCGUGGCCAAAUCUAAGAGCUGCCCCCCCCCCCCCCCGUUGACAACCACCGUGAGAUCUGCUUUCAACAACGGCAGCGUAAAAGAACGGCAACAACACUUUAAAAAAAAAACGCGGUUUACAUUUAUUGUUUAUGAAAAUGCUUUUAUUUAGUAGUAGUGGUCGUGGUGGUAGUGGCUGCAUUUUGCGAAGACGGAGCGUCCCUUGCAGCGUUAAAUGUUCGAGGCCGUAAGCGUAACGAUGUCAUUAGAUAAGAGGAGACGCGAUCCAUAAUAGCAUCGAGGUGCGACCGGGCACAUUGGGACCCCACCUGACCGAUUGCCGCACCCCCUGAGCUAACAAUAUUAGUUACGCCACUGCACAUCACGAUUGCUAUUGUUGUUGUUGUUGUGAUUACGCUCGUUUUACCCAUGUACGUAUUGUGUACGUCGAACUUCUUUCGUACCGUACGUAGCCAACCGCGCUCAUCGGAGGUGCGGUGGAAGGCCUCCUCGAGUUCUCAAAUACAGUUGUCGCAGGGUUUGUUCCGUGACCCCCGGGGUCAGGCGGGCAGUGAAGCUCCGCCUUAGGGUUUCGCCAUUGCGGGCGACGCGAGCAGAUGCGACUGUCUCACCCUACACCACUGGACAACAAUUCAAGUCUCGAAUCGCAGUGCGAGUCUCGAAGUGCGACAACAGGGGUCAACGUUCCAUCCAGCAACCUCCUGCCGAGCCGAGGGACGCCCCCUCCCAGACGCCCUCUGCAGGAAGAGACCUUCACGGCAACUUAUGUGCCUCGAUCCACCAAAUGCUCGCUGUUGCUCUCCACAGUGCCGGACUACAGGCGAGCCACGCGUAGUAGCAGUGCAGGCCAACACCAACCAACCACCGCUACCGCCGCCGCCCGAUAGUGGUGUGUAAAUGCCUUCAACGUCGUUUUCUGUCCGCUUGUUUGUCUGUUGUUUGUUGAAGUACAGAGUUGGCCUGACAACUUUAGUCUCAAAUGUCUUAUGGUUGUUAUUGUUCGACUUGCAUCACGCUGGGAUUUUUUGCACACAGCGUUGAUAUACGG